rnacentral:rRNA from 1 species
GUCCAGACUCCUACGGGAGGCAGCAGUGGGGAACAUUGCACAAUGGGGGAAACCCUGAUGCAGCAACGCCGCGUGAGUGAAGAAGUAUUUCGGUAUGUAAAGCUCUAUCAGCAGGGAAGAAGAUGACGGUACCUGAGUAAGAAGCCCCGGCUAACUACGUGCCAGCAGCCGCGGUAAUACGUAGGGGGCAAGCGUUAUCCGGAUUUACUGGGUGUAAAGGGAGCGUAGACGGUGAGACAAGUCUGAAGUGAAAGCCCGGGGCUCAACCCCGGGACUGCUUUGGAAACUGCCUGACUGGAGUGCUGGAGAGGCAAGCGGAAUUCCUAGUGUAGCGGUGAAAUGCGUAGAUAUUAGGAAGAACACCAGUGGCGAAGGCGGCUUGCUGGACAGUAACUGACGUUGAGGCUCGAAAGCGUGGGGAGCAAACAGGAUUAGAUACCCUAGUA